rnacentral:rRNA from 1 species
UACAGAGGGUGCGAGCGUUAAUCGGAAUUACUGGGCGUAAAGCGUGCGUAGACGGCUAUCUAAGUCGGGUGUGAAAGCCCCGGGCUCAACCUGGGAAUUGCAUUCGAGACUGAAUAGCUAGGGUACGGUUAGGAGGGAAGCGGAAUUUCCGGUGUAGCGGUGGAAAUGCGUAGAUAUCGGAAGAACAUCAGUGGCGAAAGCGGCUUCCAUGGACCAGUACCGACGGUUCAGGCACAAAGCCGGUG